GAAGCGAGAAACGAUGCCUGGUUGACAAACCGGAUGUCUCACAAGGUGUCGCCUACGUCACAGAUCUCGAUUGCGCAUUUUACUGGCAGUGCGACUUCGCUAACGUCCUCCUGAAAAAUGUCACCCUAAAACAAUGCGCUAUCGGAUCGUUAUGGGCAUCCUUGGCAUAUGUAGAAACCCCACCAGCACCGGGCCAGGAACCCGUCUCAACUGUGAGAAUCAGCCCGAUCCUGAAUGUCGAGCGAAGUACCUCCCCCUUGGGACGAAACCACAGUGCCCCUUGCAUCCAACAGAUCCACCUACUACAACAGAAGCAAAACCGCCUCUUGGAAAGAACAAUUGUACUGGCUAUGGUUUGGGGUUCCAAGAAAUUCUAGGAGAAGAAAGCAAAGUAUGGUACCUAAACGCAAAUCAAACAUACGGCUGUGGACAUCUUAUCUUUUACUUUGACCCAUUAGUAUGUGAUUGCGCCGCGGCAGGAAAGUUAAAUGGAUAUGUAUUAUUACGGAUACAUAAAUCGAUAAAGGAUAGUGUUAUCAAUAUUUGUGAUACUUACUUAACAACUUUUUAGGAAAACUUUAAGAAACAACAAAGGAUCUAGAAUGGUUUUCAUUACACUAUGCUGCAGGUCUCUAGAUAAAGCACAAACGUCAACUUCUGCUAACGGAGCAGAAUGUUGUUAUCGGAGUUGCAUCAUGGUUAUGGCAUCUCCAGUUAUUCGCAAAUAAUGACGAAAUUUUGAGGAUAAUCACUUCAUUAAAAUGGAAAAAAUGCAAAAAAUGCAAAAAAUGUGAUAAACCUGAGCACACUGCCACCUAUAAUUCCAUGUGUCGUUUGUCCCUUCCCGAGAAAUAUUGAACUGCAGCAAUUUUGUAAUUAUGUGUGAAUACAGACUUUGAUAUGCAGGCAUGUUUCUUCAUUAUGACAUUCUGUCCUUCAACCACUUCAAUAUAAUAGAACUAACAUAUAAGCAGGUGACCAUAUAAUGUUUGGCGGCAAUAUAUAUUGGAAUUUUCAGAUAUGUCCCUAUUUCUGAAGGUACUCAGAAUACUAUUAUCAUAAUUGUACAAAAUCCCAUGCUUACAAUAAAAAGAGGAAGCGCUAGUUAGCAGUCUGAAGAGUUUACCUUCGGUUAAUUGCUGUUUUACUACAGUAUUAUGUCUAAACUAGUAACAAACCCUUCCUUAUCAAAAAUCUAGUUUAAAAAACUCAACGUUGUGCAUUUACAGUUCACUACAGAGUUCACUAUAUUGUUCAUACGUUUAAAAAUAAUAUCUUCAAAGACCUGGAGUAUCAAUUUGUUCGUGCAAACUCUGGAUUCUAUCAAAAGAAUUAAGAGCGUUUAAAUGAAUCAAACAAUACAGAUAACGUGAUUUCUCAGGCUCAAAUGUUCCGUAACCACCGAUGAUAGAGUCAUUAAAAUUUAUGUAUAUUAUUUGAAAGAAAUACAGAAACGACCAGGUCUCUCAAAA